GAAUGCACUUUAUCAAGCUGGUGCUUUUUAGGAGGCAGGCUGUGCUCAGGCCUGUGCUCUUUCUCGCUAGAGAUCUCCUCAUGCUUUUUUUUCCCCUCCCACCUGAGACUCUUCCUCCUCUGCCAGACACCUGUUCAGAGGAAGCUACCUGCAACUAGGUAACAUGAGUAAAGCCUGGGUGGUCCUUGGUUUCUAUCUGGGUCCCAGGGUGAAGGGUGCGCAUUGAUUCAGAGCCUGCUAAAAUGACUUACAAAGAUGGGUCAUUGACUUCAGGAUGUGGGCUGAGUAUAUGGGGUGACUGUGAAGAAUCUAUACUCCUGCCCCAUAGUGUAUUUCAGUGCGCCUGCGAGGAAGAGGAGUAAAGACAUCAUGCUGGCACGUGCACAGAUCAGUACAGACCAAACUUUUGCUGUGGGAGGCAGAGGAAGGGCUGAGAGUUGCUGUUAAUGCACGUGUCCACAAGAGAGCACCAGAUCACAGCACAGCCACCCUGCAGCUCCCUGUUUCUAUCUCCAGGCUCAGAAGGGGAUUAAAGUUGGACACAUGGAGAUGCCCAGAGCCUGCUGUUGUAUUCAUGGUGCCUCUGACCCUGUGGCCCAAUUUGCCUCGACUCAGUGAGAGAUCUCCACGAGCUUCAUCUUCCCUCUGCACCUGAGCUGCUUCAGCCUCUGCAGGACACCCAUUCAAAGGAAGCUCUCUAAAUCCAUGUACGGUGAAUCACGAAUCACGGCUGGGUUGUUUAGAUUUACAAGCAGAGUCAUGGGGAGGAAGGUUGCUGAUUCUAAGCCUGCUGUCCUGACUUAAAUAGGAGCGUUGCUGACUUCAGGCAGUGGCAGAAAGUUGGGUAUGGUGAGUGGCCUGGCCCACUGUGAGUAAGUCACUCCCAUGUGUAUUUGUGUGUCAUGAGAGGGAGAGGGGUAAGAACAUCACACUGACAAGUGUUCCAGGCCAGUGCAGGCCAAGGUUACUAUGUGGAGGCAGAGGAAAUGCUGAGAGUUGCUGUUAGAGCAGAUUAGCACCAUCUGGC
rnacentral:lncRNA from 1 species